CAGGUAGCCUCCAGGAGAGCCGGGACCUUGUAUGUGAAUUUUGUUUAUCACUGUAUCCCCAGCAUAGCAGGAUGCAAGUCUUAUAAUAAGUACCCCGAUGGCAUAUACUUAUAUUUACCUGCCUCACUCAUUUUGGGCAUGGCCAUGUAACCGGGUGCACAGAAGUGGGAGUGUACUGAGGCUUUGAAUGUUUGUUUAGCCUCUGGAGCUCCUGCCUACUCCAUGAUGCCACUUCUGCAGGCUCUCAGAACUGUCUGUCUUUGAAAAGGGCUAUCCUUGUUGUGGGAGGCCCUCAGCUUUCCGAGGAGGUUGGAAAGAAUGGAGCUCAGAGAAAUGGAGGGGCCCCCGCAAGCUGCAGCA